rnacentral:rRNA from 1 species
CAACUUUCAGCAACGGAUCUCUUGGCUCUCGCAUCGAUGAAGAACGCAGCCAAAUGGGAUAAGUAAUGUGAAUUGCAGAAUUCAGGUAAUCAUCCAAUCUUUGAACGCACCUUGCGCUCCUUGGUAUUCCGAGGAGCAUGCCUGUUUGAGUGUCAUUA